UCUCUCUCUCUCUCUCUCUCCCUUGAUCACUUCUUUUUCAUUCUUCUCAAUUUCCACCCAUAAUCAACAUCACUAAUCUCUAUUUGGAUUACUUUUAUUAAUUUUUAGGAAUUUGUUAUUAUUUUUCAAAUCCUAAGUUUAGGAAUUUUGGGGAAAUUUUCUGAGUGAUCAAGUUGUGAAACAUUAUGGAUGCUAUCAUCGAGAUUGAAGGAGAUAUUGGCCGGGUGGCUUUGGGUUCCUUGAUCAUACAGCUUUGGAUGAAUUUGAGUUUCACUGAAAAUUUAUUUUUGUUUAAGAGGAUGCCUAAUGCUGCUAUAUUCUGAGUUGCUGCCCAUUUUAGCUUGAUUCUUGCCGUCGUCAAGGAAAGAAUAGAGGAGCUGCAACCUAGUACCUACUAUUGAUAUUUUAUGGGUUGAAAAAAAAGAUAUUAAGUCUUAAGAUGAUUGAAAGUGUCGACUCAUUUGAAUACAACAACUCUUGCGGAAACCAUUACGCAACUAAACUGGAGUUAAUUGUGAAGAAGAGCUUUGUGGUAAGGAUGAGAAGAAGAAUAGCAGCUAUGUCACGAUUCUGGGCUUGGGUUUUGUGAGGAGGAGGUCUAUUUCAAGGGAAUUUCAUAGAAAUUGAAGGUGGUUUAUGGGUUUUGUUGUUAAUGAAGAGGAAGGCUAGGUGUUUUAGCUUUGACUUUGACCAGAAAUUGAGUAGAAAGGUGGUGGCAUUGGUGGCCAAGAAGGGUAAAGGAGAGAUGAUGGUUGAAGGUGAAGGUGGCUGGAGUAGAAAACAAAGUAUGGUGGUUAUUUCUUUCGAUUAAGAGGAAAGGAGGAGAGGAGCCCUUGGCUGCUGGGUAUCUCUAACUCUAAGAAAGGUCUGUUCCCUGUACAUUCAACCACAAGCGGGCUCACGCAUUUAGCUUAUUGACAUUUCAUUUCUCGAGCAUGGACGUACAUUUCUGACAAGGCUGAAUUGUGUUUAAUUACUAUAAAAUAUAAAAGCUUAAGGUUAUAUAAGUUCCAACAAAAAUUCAGAGGUGUGAUAGGUUGGUUAUAUCCAGAAGUUUAGGGGUAUGCUUAUGCACUUGGCCAAUAAAAGUUUAGGGACUUGAUAGACGAAGCAUGUGUGGUUUAGGAACCUCAGGAUGGUUUCUUCGUACUUAAUUCAAUUUUUCAUUUCUUUAUUGUUUUAAAAAUGUAACCCUUUCUUAUGUAGAUCUUUGGAGAAAUCUUGAGUAAACACUAGUUGUCUGCUCUUAAGUGAAUUUUACUUUCAAUGGUAAAAUCCAGUUUCCAGUGGUAGUGCCAGUGGUUGAAGCAUAGAGAUGGGGAUGCUCUUGUUAAGUUUUGGAUUAUCUUGUGGGAUUAAGGGGCUGUAAUCAUUGAGUAAUUCAGAAACAAGAGUUAUCUUAUUAAUGAAGAUGUUCAUGUGUUUUUAUCACGCAGAAAUACUCUAUAUGGCAUGGGAUUGAAGCAAAUAAAGGUUAGUCUCUAGUACGCACCUGGCAGUUCGUAUGGUUUACUUUCCUCGUUAGGAAAGACAAAUAACAAUAGCUGCAUUAAUUCAAAUCCUUUCCAUUGGGGAAAAAUGUGAAAUUGGUCCUUUUCCUUGAAGAUGGGAGGACUUCCCAAAUCCUCAAAACUCGAGCAGAGGUGGUUGUCCUGAAAUUCCUUUGACUUUUUCCUAGUUGACACAUGACCAAUGCCCAUUGGGCCUCCCACCCAAACAUCAAUGCCUAUCAAUAGAUGUUUGUGGUUCAAGACAUUUGAACUUUUGGGGUCGAGACAAAGUUUUGAAUUAUUCGAGUGUUAAUCGUUUCUUUUAGUAGUUUUAAUAAUCAUCGAGUGAUAAUGAUAGUAAAA
rnacentral:misc_RNA from 1 species